GAAGACCCUAUAUGGGGGUCACUUGUAGUUGAAAUAUUAGCAAAAUGUCUGUAAUAAGGAUUCUAAUGGAAAUCUUAUGAUCAUUUAAGCAAUUUUUGCUAAUGGAUCAGAAAGGAUUGUCAAAGCAGAAACUCUGGGCUGAGGUAAAGGUAGUGUAACGGCUCGUUUUCAGUAAAAUCAGAAUAUUGGUUUUGAGACCAC
rnacentral:lncRNA from 1 species